rnacentral:rRNA from 1 species
CGGGGUGGGUAAUGUCUGGGAAACUGCCUGAUGAGGGGGAUAACUGCUGGAAACGGUAGCUAAUACCGCAUAACGUCGCAAGACCAAAGUGGGGGACCUUCGGGCCUCAUGCCGUCAGAUGUGCCCAGAUGGGAUUAGCUAGUAGGUGGGGUAACGGCUCACCUAGGCGACGAUCCCUAGCUGGUCUGAGAGGAUGACCAGCCACACUGGAACUGAGACACGGUCCAG